GACGGAGGGUGCUAGCGUUGUUCGGAAUGACUGGGCGUAAAGGGCGCGUAGGCGGCUCGUGAAGUCGGGUGUGAAAGCCCGGGGCUCAACCCCGGAACGGCAUCCGAUACUGGCGGGCUUGAGACCGGGAGAGGAGGGUGGAAUACCCAGUGUAGAGGUGAAAUUCGUAGAUAUUGGGUGGAACACCGGUGGCGGAAGCGGCUCUCUGGCCCGGAUCUGACGCUGAGGCGCGAAAGCGUGGGGAGCAAACGGG
rnacentral:rRNA from 1 species